rfam:Ictidomys tridecemlineatus contig103424, whole genome shotgun sequence.
AGGGGUGUAGCUUAGUGGCAGAGCAUCUGCUUAAGACUAAGUGCAAGGCCCUGGGUUCCAUCCCCAGCACCACAA